GACGAACGCUGGCGGCGUGCUUAACACAUGCAAGUCGAACGGAAAGGCCCUGCUUUUGUGGGGUGCUCGAGUGGCGAACGGGUGAGUAACACGUGAGUAACCUGCCCUUGACUUUGGGAUAACUUCAGGAAACUGGGGCUAAUACCGGAUAGGAGCUCCUGCUGCAUGGUGGGGGUUGGAAAGUUUCGGCGGUUGGGGAUGGACUCGCGGCUUAUCAGCUUGUUGGUGGGGUAGUGGCUUACCAAGGCUUUGACGGGUAGCCGGCCUGAGAGGGUGACCGGCCACAUUGGGACGGGGAUACGGCCCAGACUCCUACGGGAGGCAGCAGUGGGGAAUAUUGCACAAGGGGCGGAAGCCUGAUGCAGCAACGCCGCGUGCGGGAUGACGGCCUUCGGGUGGUAAACCGCUUUCGCCUGUGACGAAGCGUGAGGGACGGUAAUGGGUAAAGAAACACCGGCUAACUACGU
rnacentral:rRNA from 1 species